UUUGGGUUGUGGUGGGGCUCGUCUGCAUCCCCCGGCACAGGAAGAAUGCAGAGCAGCUGGAGCAGGUCCAGAGGCUUGGCUUGUGCUGCACCUCGAGGAGGCCUCAUUGAGACCUGCUGCAGCCUCUGUGCCCAAACACCCCCUCUUUUGGGGGGAGGCUGAUCCGGCCCAGCCGCAUGAUCGCAGUCAGGUGACGACGCCGAGCACAAAAGCAGCGCGGGAUAAGCAGCUCAGCGUGGCAGAUCAGCUGCUGCCCCGGCCCCUCUGCGAGCUGCUACUGCUCAGGGAAAAUGAGCACCUGGCCCCCUCCUCUGCUCUGGAGCCUCACCACGGUGUGUCUGACAGGUAUUGCUUUAGGCCAGACAACCACCACUCAGGCCCCUGUUGCAUCAACCUCGCUACUUCUGAGUGCUGCUACCACCCAAGUCCCUGUUGCACCAACCCAAAUGUCUUCUGUUGCCACCGCGACCUCAGCCCCCCCAUCCCCAUCUUCUGCUGGAAUGCUCUCAGUUGGAACAGUGACAAACCUCACCAGCCCUACAGUUGUGCCAUCUGCUGUCUCAAGCACAAACUCUCCCUCUCCAACUCUGCCCACCACCCCACGCAUCACUGCACUCACCUCUGGGAUUGCAACCACCCCUCAUGCACCCACAGCACCAAUGGCCACAUCCAGCAGUCCCUGGGCCACCCCUCCAGAUGUAACUGCAUCUCCUGGGGUCCCAUCAGUGGUCCCGUUUCUCAGCACCAUUGAGCCCUCAAACUGCAGCAGAGUGAAUGUGACAACAUGUGCUCCUUGCUCCCCAGGGACCAUUCCCAGCAAUGACACCUGGAGCUGCUUGUGCUGCACGGAGGGCUCAUGUGUGGACCCUGGUGCCUGUGCUCCUUGCCCUGUGGGACACUACCAGCCUGAGAGGGGACAGCAGCAGUGCCUGCCGUGUCCAAAGGGACGUUACGCCAACACUACGAGGAGCACCGUGUGCUCACCCUGCCUGCCUGGCCACUAUGCCAACGAGUCGGGGGCCGCAGCCUGCAGCGCGUGCCAGAAAGGUUAUUUUAGCUCACAGCAAAAUGCAGCUUCUUGUCUGCCUUGCCUGCCUGGAUCGUUCUGCAACACCACCAGCUGCACGCUGUGUCUGGCCUGUCCUGCUGGGCGUGAGGCUCCACGGGAGGCUGCUGAGGAGUGUACACUGUGCCGGGCAGGUACGUUCAAAGGUCUGGGUGAUGACACCUGCAAGCCCUGCGAGCCAGGGGAAUACCAACUGCAGCAGGGCCAGGAGAGCUGUGACCUGUGUCCAGAGAACCACUACUGCCCUAGCCCAGAUGUGAACCCAAUCAAGUGCCCUCCUGAUGCCUUCUGCCCUGUGGGCAGCACUGAGCCCCAGUACUGCAUGGAGAUCUUCCUGUACAAGGUGGGCAGCUCCUGCCAGCUGACGCCACUGGUGAUCGUCCUCCUGGCCCUCUUCUCAGCAGGCGCAAUUCUUAUAAUCUUUGUACUAAUUCUGAGAAGAAGGCAAGAACACAGCACAAAGUCUUUGAAGUCCCUGCUGCUACCACAAGGAUCAGAGCAGCACACAACGUAUGGAGUGAUGGAGCACACAGAGCCGGUGUAUGCUGGCUGGUAGAGGGGGAAAGGCAACCUGCAAGCACUGUGUUCCCUUUUCUGUAGGGUAAUGCACGCGUGUGUAUAUGUGAAAGAAGUUUGACCGUCACCAACCUAUUUCCGUAUUGCUAAAAUAAGCACAGAGAAAUGAAAUGCAAGUCAUUUUUCAGCUGUGCCUUUCUGUGCUGACCAACCUGGCUGGAUGCUGUUCUACAUCAAAUGGAUUUACAGCAGAAGCUUCCCCCUCUAAUUCCUAGCUCCACUCGCAAUAAAUACUUCUUUUUUUCCUUUCCUUAAGAAAUUUCAGCAGUCAGCUCAACUGCUGGAACAAAGAACAGCUGCUGCAGAUACUGGACUUCCCACAGCACAAUUGCUUCUACCCGAGCAGGAACUAACACAAAUAUUCCUCCUUUAAGGAAGAUGCACGUUUACUUAUUUAUUUGCCCUUCUCAAAACUUUACCUAUACUUGAAACUGAGGGUCAGCUGAAAAAAGGAAUCCCACACUUUUCCCUUCCUCUCAGCUGUGGGAAAACACGUGCAGCUGAACUUAUGGUUGACUCCUGGACAAAUGUGUCCCUUCUGUUUCCUGCUGUGGUGCUGCGGUCUCUCAUGCAGUGCUUCAUAUUACUCCACAGAGCUACAGAAGCAACACCCUCCUCCUCCUUCUCCAGUGCAAUUCAUUCGCAUACCAUGCAGGCUGCAAAGCCCUGCUCAGAUCAUCCAGCUGUGACACUUCCACAGCGCUGUGCUUCAUCAGCUCUGAGAGCCCUGGUAAAAAUAGUACUUAAUAUUGUGAGAGCUGUGCUUUCAAGUGAGUGUGCACGGAGGUGGAAGCAGGUGUUACUUCUCACUGGAGCCCUUUCCCUGAGCUAAAGCAGCAGCAGCCAGCUGAAGGAACCCAGCUGGUGGGGGUUAAGUGGCUGCUGCCCUCCACUGCUCAUUCUUCUCAUCCCUGGGGAGGUUAUUGUGCUUUUCAAGAAAAAGGAAAUAAACAACCGCCAAAAAAAAGCAGUUCUCUGAUCUGUUUCAGAUCUGUCAGAUGAGUAAACGGACGGGAAGAGAGGUGUGUUAUCCUCUGUGGUAAGCAGUAAUGCAGCUGGUAGCCCUGCCACCUGGAUCAGCAGCAGCAUGGACCAAUCACACACCAAGCUCAGUCCCACCCCAAAACCCUUUCUGCCCUCAAUCUCCACUUUCCCACUGAAAGCUGGUUACCUCCUGUCCUCAUGCUUUGUUCUUUCCUUCCCACUCCUCCUCACUCCCAGCUACUUGCUUGAAAUGUGCUGGCUCUCAGAAUCCCCCGUUCUAAGAGGAAAUGGGUCCUUUGCAGCAGUGACCACCUGGGGACAGGAUGGGGCCCUCUCCUUGUGGCUUAUGUGGCUGCAGGAAAUGAUGCCCAACACCCUCUUGUGUUCUUCAGUCCUGAGAGCUGGGGCACAGGGUGUGCACAGCCCUUCUGCUGGGCUCUCUGAUGCUGUCCAUAGCACGCAGGCACUAAGUUUCUCAGUGGGCACAGUCAGGGCUUUCCAGAGGAGCAGCAAAAGGAUGGAGUCCUGAUAACAGAGCACCAGGUUAUCUCAGCAGAACACUAAACCAACAGUGCCAAAGCACAUUUCGGAUUUGCUCUUAAAGAAGCACAGCUGCAGGCAGGCACAGAGAUUCCACCCAUGAAGGAAACCUGGCUGAGAAAGAAAAAUAUGGGUGAAUUAAAACCUGACCCACCAGGAACACCAGCAGUGACAGCUGAAUGGAGCUGGUAGGACUGCGUGAUUGCAGCUCAAAAUAUUUGAAGUCUGUCAAAUUCUGAGUAACAGAAGACAGCUCUGUAACAGGAGAA
ensembl:lncRNA